AGCAAAAUGUUAUUUUCUGCAGCACGUUUCAUUUUGCCCUAAUUUAGCUUAUAAAUGAGAAGUUUGUGGUCUCUGCAUUAUUUAUUGUCUCUGUCUGUUACUCGUACACAACUGGUUUUGAAAUAAACAAUCUUGCCAUUAA